rnacentral:rRNA from 1 species
CCUACGGGAGGCAGCAGUGGGGAAUAUUGCACAAUGGGGGAAACCCUGAUGCAGCGACGCCGCGUGAGUGAAGAAGUAUUUCGGUAUGUAAAGCUCUAUCAGCAGGGAAGAAAAUGACGGUACCUGACUAAGAAGCCCCGGCUAACUACGUGCCAUCAGCCACGGUACUACGUAGGGGGCAAGCGUGAUCCGGAUUUACUGGGCGUAAAGGGAGCGUAGACGGCCAGACAAGUCAGAAGUGAAAACCCGCGGCUCAACUGCGGGAGUGCUUUUGAAACUGGUUGGCUGGAGUGCAGUAAAGGUAAGUGGACUUCCUGGUGUGGCGGUGAACUGCGUAGCUGUUAGGAGGAACACCAGUGGCGAGGGCGGCUUACUGGACUGUAACUGACGUUGGGGCUCGAACGCGUGGGACGCAAACCGACUUGACUACCCGGUAGUC